rnacentral:rRNA from 1 species
UGGGGAAUUUUGGACAAUGGGCGAAAGCCUGAUCCAGCCAUGCCGCGUGAGUGAAGAAGGCCUUCGGGUUGUAAAGCUCUUUUAGUCGGAAAGAAAGAGUCGCAAUGAAUAAUUGUGAUUUAUGACGGUACCUACAGAAAAAGCACCGGCUAACUACGUGCCAGCAGCCGCGGUAAUACGUAGGGUGCGAGCGUUAAUCGGAAUUACUGGGCGUAAAGGGUGCGCAGGCGGUUUUGCAAGUCAGAUGUGAAAGCCCCAAGCUUAACCUGGAAAUUGCGUUUGAAACUACAAGACUAGAGUGCAGCAAAAAGAAGUGGAAUUCCAUGUGUAGCAGUGAAAUGCGUAGAGAUGUGGAAGAACACCGAUGGCAAAGGCAGCUCCCUGGGUUGACACUGACGCUCA